rnacentral:tRNA from 1 species
CGAUUCGUAGCAGGGUGGUAAUGAGGCUGGUUUUGGCGCUGUAGAUCGUGGGUUCGAAUCCCCCCUAGGCAC